ensembl:lncRNA
GGGGAGCCCGAGGAAGCUGUGAGAUGCUAACCCCACCAUGACAGGCUCCCAGUGGCUGUCACUCCAGUCCAGCACUGUGCUCAGCCUGCACAUAGCUAUCCACAUGCUUGGGUCCCCUUCUCCCACGAUGAGGUGACCAGGGCUGACAGUCAACCCUGGAUCUAAGCGGCUGGGAGUUCUGGGGUGGGAGAAAUGGGAUCUUUGGGGAGCUCUGCAGAACCUCAAGGCACCAGAUUCAACAAAGAAGGGGGAGCCCUGGCCGCCACCCAGGGUCCCUGCAAGCAGGAGGAGUUGUCCUAAUUUUGUUCUGGCAACGAAAUAAUUAACAAAUGCAGCAUGAAGGCAGGGCCAGACUGAACUGAAGGACAGACAGUCAAACAGAAUGUCUGGAACAUGAUCAUUUACAGGAUGAUCACUACUGGCCAAUAGGCAGGAGCUGCCAACACCACCCCUGCCACCCCCUCGUGCCCCCGCAGCCUCUCCAGAGACGCUUCAGAGACCCUCAGGCUCCUUGGCCGGGCGUGGAGCAUGUCUCCCAGGGGCACUAGAUGAAGGAGAAUGUGCUGCAGAUGUGACAAAUGCCGGCUACGUUUCAUGGGGUCAUCCUUGCCUGGCCGUGGAAAGCGAGAAGAGAAACACCCGCGAUCCUGUAAGUGCCCUGCUCCUGGCUUUCCAGGCCUACGUACCCUCCUCUACAACCUGGCAAACCUAAAGCAAAUAUGUGUUUUUGUUUUAAAUGUGGGCGGGCCAGGAAAAACAGAAUUUCUCCUGAUGGUAGGUGGACCAGGGGAGCCCAAAGAGAAUGGCAGUGACCAGGGAGGACAGAGAGGCCAGCCUGGACCAGGAGAUGCUGGGGGAGCUGGCAGGAAGACCAGGCUCCCCAGCCCCAAUGCAGCCACGCCAGGGAUAAGUGGAGCCCUCCUGGAUGAGCAGGGAAGAGGCAAUCUUCUCAUAACCACCCAGGUGGAGACACCGGCUCCGCUGUCCCCAGGAGGCUCGGGGGCACUGUCCCGGCGUGAACAGUACCAGAUUGAGGGAGGAGAGCAAGCCGAUGGCCAAGCCCAGAGCCGUGGGCUGUCGAAUGACAAGGGACUCAGUUUCAUCUAUAAAAUGGGACCAAUACAGGUGCCUACUUCACAGGACUAUCAUGAGGGGUGAGUUAGUGCAGGUGAAGGCCUGAACGUUGCUUCUGGCACAAGCAACACCCAGCAGAUAACCGCCACGGUGAGAAGAGGCUCCGAUGUGCACACUCCUGCCGGCCCUGCGGUUCUUGUCAGCUCAAGCUCCCCGUAUGCCUUGUAAAAAGCAGUAAUUAAGCUCUCUUGAAAAUUAAGCCAACGUGUCUUCCCUUUCCUCUCCAGUCCAUUUCCAGUGCUUGCAGAUUUUUUUUUAAAGAUUUUAUUUAUUCAUGAGAGACACAGAGAGGCAGAGACACAGGCAGAGGGAGAAGCAGGCUCCAUGCAGGGAACCCGAUGCGGGACUCUAUCCCAGGGUCCUGGGGUCACGCUCUGGGCCAAAGGCAGACGCUCAACCACUGAGCCACCCAGGCAUGCCCAGUGCUUGCAGAUUUUUAAAAUCCUCUCCCUCUGCUCACUUCUGUCCCCAAAAUGCCACAUAUCCUGGGGUG